rnacentral:rRNA from 1 species
UACGGGGGGGGCAAGCGUUGUUCGGAAUUACUGGGCGUAAAGGGCUCGUAGGUGGCCCGCUAAGUUGGACGUGAAAUCCCUCGGCUUAACCGGGGAACUGCGUCCAAGACUGGCAGGCUUGAAUCCGGGAGAGGGACGUGGAAUUCCAGGUGUAGCGGUGAAAUGCGUAGAUAUCUGGAGGAACACCGGUGGCGAAGGCGGCGUCCUGGACCGGUAUUGACACUGAGGAGCGAAAGCCAGGGGAGCAAACGGG